rnacentral:rRNA from 1 species
UACAGAGGUCUCAAGCGUUGUUCGGAUUCAUUGGGCGUAAAGGGUGCGUAGGUGGCGCCGUAAGUGGGGUGUGAAAUUUCGGAGCUUAACUCCGAAACUGCAUUCGAUACUGCGGUGCUUGAGGACUGGAGAGGAGACUGGAAUUCAUGGUGUAGCAGUGAAAUGCGUAGAGAUCAUGAGGAAGACCAGUGGCGAAGGCGGGUCUCUGGACAGUUCCUGACACUGAGACACGAAGGCCAGGGGAGCAAACGGG